UUUUCUUCCUACAUGAAGCCACCACUGGUGCUGGUGAAGCAGGUGAUGGUUGUUUUUCCGGUUGACUCUUUUGUGUUUCCAUUCUUUAUCUCUCUUAGAAUAAUAUGCACCCGCCAAAAAUAUGUUUUAAACUAUAAGCCAAGUAGAAAAUCUUCACAAGAAAAUUAGGAAAGCACCAAUCUUGAUUCAGCCAUUCCUCUUACAAGAAGGAACUUAUUUUAAAAAGCAACAAAUCUCGACUAUACGAAAAAAAAAGUAUCACUCAAUGGCAUAAUUUGAAAAUAAAAAUUAAACCACCACGCACAAGAAGUAAAUAAAAAAGUAAAACAAAUCAAGCAUCAGAAUUAUAAAUUUAAAGAAAUAUAGACAAUUACAAAGCAACUGACAGAUAGUAAAAAUACAAGAAAUGUCACUCUUUUAAAAAUAAAUCAAAAGAGAAGACGGAUUGUAAAAAUCAAUUCAAAAUUUAACAUAAAGUAAAUCAUAUUCUAUUUCUGUUGCUAUAAGCAUAAGACAUGAACAUCCUAAAUUUUUAAAACAAAACGAAAAAAAUUAUCAAGAACUGGAAAGACACUUGAAAUUUUUAUUUAUAUUUGGUUAUAAGAAGUAGGAAGAGAGACAAGCGUACCGAAUGAAGAGAAUUGCAACGAUGGAGAAAGAGGGAUCCAAUAGAUCUGCAGGUGGAGGAUAAGAUAGAAGACAGAAGAGAAGUGCCAGCGAGGAAGGAAAGAGAGAGAAAAGCGACGC
rnacentral:lncRNA from 1 species